GCCUGGUUAGCUCAGUUGGUAGAGCGCUCCACUGAAAAUGGAAAGGUCUCUGGUUCGAUACACGGACCAGGCG
rfam:Ixodes scapularis strain Wikel colony gcontig_1108378884132, whole genome shotgun sequence.